GGCUUAGUGGUCUAGUGGUAAGGAUACUUGCUUCUCACCCUGGAGUCCCGAGUUCAAGCCCCAGCUGAGGAGCUA